GUGCCAGCCGCCGCGGUAAUACGGAGGGUGCAAGCGUUGUUCGGAAUUACUGGGCGUAAAGCGGGUGUAGGCGGCCGCACAAGUCAGAUGUGAAAUCCCUGGGCCCAACCCAGGAACUGCAUUUGAUACUGCGCGGCUCGAGUCCCGGAGAGGAUGGCGGAAUUCCAGGUGUAGAGGUGAAAUUCGUAGAUAUCUGGAGGAACACCAGCGGCGAAGGCGGCCAUCUGGACGGUGACUGACGCUCAGACCCGAAAGCGUGGGGAGCAAACAGGAUUAGAUACCCCCGUAGUCC
rnacentral:rRNA from 1 species